GCUCCCAUGGUGUAGUGGUCACUGUGCUUGCCUUGCACGCAGGAGGCCCGGGUUCAAUUCUCAGUGGGGUCA
rnacentral:tRNA from 1 species